rnacentral:rRNA from 1 species
UGCAGAAUCCCGUGAACCAUCGAGUCUUUGAACGCAAGUUGCGCCCGAUGCCAUUAGGUUGAGGGCACGUCUGCCUGGGUGUCACAUAUCGAAGCCUCCUGCCAAUUUCCUUUUGACAGGUAUUGUGCAGGGUGGAUGUUGGCCUCCCGUGAGCUCUUUCGUCUCAUGGUUGGUUGAAAAUUGAGACCUUGGUAGGGUGUGCCAUGAUAAAUGGUGGUUGUGUGACCCACGAGACCAAUCAUGCGCUGCUCUAUUGAAUUUGGCCUCUUUUACCCAUAUGCGUUUCUAAACGCUCGUGAUGAGACCUCAGGUCAGGCGGGGCUACCCGCUGAAUUUAAGCAUAUCAAUAAGCGGAGGAAAAGAAACUAACAAGGAUUCCCUUAGUAACGGCGAGCGAACCGGGAUAAGCCCACCAUGAGAAUCGGUCGCCCUCGGCGUUCGA